rnacentral:misc_RNA from 1 species
UCUAGGGAGCCACCGUUGUGGCCCUCGACGUUGUGUUGGGGGUUUGUGUUUGUGGUGGUUUUUAGUGGGACUGCAUAUUGGGCUGGCAUGCUGUUGGGGUGUGGGGUAACACCUGUUUCUGCCCGUGUUCGUACUGCCUGUUUGUGGUGGUGUGGGUGUGGUGUUGGUGUGGUGGUUGAGAAUUGUAUAGUGGAUGCGAGCAUCUUUUGGUUUUUGUAAGUGUUUUAUGGGCGUUCGGUGGAUGCCUUGGCACGUGGGGCCGAUGAAGGACGUUGUAGCCUGCGAUAUUCCUCGGGGAGUUGGCAUACGAGCUGUGAUCCGAGGGUUUCCGAAUGGGGGAACCUGGCCGGAGUUGUUUCUGGUUACCAUCAUCUGAAUGUAUAGGGUGGUGGGGGACGA